AAAUUCAAGGCUGCUGGCUCACGUAAAGCCAUGGGAUUAACUAACCAGCAGCUAAUCAAAUUUUAACUUAAGAAAUUGCUGCAAACAAAAGUGAAUAGAGGAAAAACGCAUAACUUGUACACAAAAGCAAUUUGCUGCUCGUAUUCGGUCAAUUAAGCACCUAUUGAGAAUUGUUAUUCGGAAUCGCUGGAGGAUACGUGAAGUUGAAGUAAGCUUGUGGUUCGAGAUACUGUUGAUUACGUUUGAGGCACUACUGGAUAGGAUUAGCAUUCGGCUCAGCAUUUUCCGCUUCUCUUCUCGGUAGGAAUUCAGACUCGUCUAUUUUACAAUGAUUUAGUAUUUCGGGGUAUGCCCCGAGGACAUAUGUUCUUGUUGGUAUUCUUUUAGAGGCUCAUGACUUAGCCUAGUGGGUUAUGUUAGUUUCAUGUUUUAGUCUUUAUGUUUUCAUGAGAUUUUCACAAUUCGUAUUUCAGUAUAUAAUAUAGAUUUCGGUAUGUUCAGUUAGUGCUUUAUUGGGUAAUUUUUGCUAAUUAAUUCAGUAAAUGUUAUGACAGACAACUUAACUCAGGUUCGCUCGACGGGUAGCUUAGGUCGGGUGCCAAUCACGUCCUACCCUAGUUUUGGGGUGUGACACAUGUAUACACUAGGUGUCAUAUAUUUGUAUACACUAAAAAGGAGGCCAGCCUUAAUAUAAAAUUAUUGGACCGAGUCCAGCCCAAACUAGGGCAAGACUCGGCCCAACCCUUCAAUAAAGAUAAGGGGUAUAUCCCUAUUUUCUCAUUUUAUCUUCCAAACGGCCCUUUCCCUUUACCCCCUUCUCUCUCUUCCUCUUCCGUGAACCCUUAGCGCCGCCUCGUAUUUCUCUCUUCUCUCUCGUCCAAAAAUGGCAAAAAUACAGGGUGUAGCAGAUAAGCACAGAUUUUGCAUGUCUAUUGUAGUGAAACAUUUAAUGUUUCACUUGAUUUCACGAAAAUAUAAUCCCAAACAUGGUAAUAAAUCGUUUCUUUGCUUUAUUUUCUUUAUUAUUAUGAGAUCUAUGUGCUUUAUUGUUGUACCUUGCUUGAAUAUCAUUGGUUGAACAAGAAUGGGUCAGAUCGAGUCAAGCAAGACUCAGAUCUGACCAUUCCCUGUUGAUUCAAGAUAAUCUUAGCCGUGUAAAGGCUUACAAAGGCUAAUUUUAGAGAAAAUGUGUUUGUCCCACAUCGUAUGUUUAAGGCUUUGAAUGACUUUGGAGGUUCUAUAAAUAGAAUCCCAACACGAGGAAAAAAAAAGGAGGGAGGAAAAAGAGAAAAAAAGAGAGGUUUUUAGAGUUUGCAAAAAUUCUGGCAAUCUCAGAGCUUUGUUUUGAGGAUUAUAAGUCAAAAUCCUAAGCUCAUUGUAAAAUUUUAAAGAUUUGUUUUUCGUUCUAGGGUUUAAGUCUUUUUUUUUUUAACUUCUAAAAUAUUCGUAUUUUUCCUUCAUUUUUCCGUGUGGUUGAGUCGGAGUUUGGUAGCACAAAGGCUCUAAGUUCAACUCUUGACAAAGGCUGCACACCAAAAAGGCCAAGGUUCAGCCACUAUAUUGGGCCAAAGGCCUAAUUAGAAAAUUCUUACGAAAUUAUUGAGUCUGAGAAAAAGGAAGGGAAGCUAGUAUAUAUAUUUGAAGGCCCAGUCAUGGGUGAAAAUGACAUGAAGGCCUAACCAUGGGUAAAAAUGGUCCAUUAGGGGUCUGGUACACCCCUAACUUAUUCCUCUUUCUUUAAAUUUCAUUACGAUGUUUCCUUUAUUUAAAGUGUUGUAUUUGUAUGAUGUAAAACAAAACUCACAUUAUUAUUGGAAUUAUUUAUGGUUUGGACUAGA